rnacentral:rRNA from 1 species
UACGAAGGGUGCAAGCGUUACUCGGAAUUACUGGGCGUAAAGCGUGCGUAGGUGGUUUGUUAAGUCUGAUGUGAAAGCCCUGGGCUCAACCUGGGAAUUGCAUUGGAUACUGGCAGGCUAGAGUGCGGUAGAGGAUGGCGGAAUUCCCGGUGUAGCAGUGAAAUGCGUAGAGAUGCGGAGGAACACCGAUGGCGAAGGCAAUCCCCUGGGCCUGCACUGACGCUCAUGCACGAAAGCGUGGGGAGCAAACAGG